rnacentral:rRNA from 1 species
GAUGAACGCUAGCGGCAGGCUUAAUACAUGCAAGUCGAGGGACAGCACAGGUAGCAAUACUGGGUGGUAACCGGCAAACGGGUGCGGAACACGUACACAACCUUCCUUUAAGUGGGGGAUAGCCCAGAGAAAUUUGGAUUAAUACCCCGUAAUAUAGUUGAAUGGCAUCAUUUGAUUAUUAUAGCUACGGCGCUUAAUGAUGGGUGUUCGGCUGAUUAGAUAGUUGGCGGGGUAACGGCCCACCAAGUCAACGAUCAGUAGCUGAUGUGAGAGCAUGAUCAGCCACACGGGCACUGAGACACGGGCCCGACUCCUACGGGAGGCAGCAGUAAGGAAUAUUGGUCAAUGGACGCAAGUCUGAACCAGCCAUGCCGCGUGAAGGAUUAAGGUCCUCUGGAUUGUAAACUUCUUUUAUCUGGGACGAAAAAGGGCCUUUCUAGGUCAACUGACGGUACCAGAUGAAUAAGCACCGGCUAACUCCGUGCCAGCCGCCGCAGUAACAC